GACGAACGCUGGCGGCGUGCUUAACACAUGCAAGUCGAGCGGUAAGGCCCUUUCGGGGGUACGACGAGCGGCGAACGGGUGAGUAACACGUGGGUGACCUGCCCUCAGCUCUGGGAUAAGCCCGGGAAACUGGGUCUAAUACUGGAUAUGACUCCACGGUGCAUGCCGUGGGGUGGAAAGCCUUGUGCGGCUGAGGAUGGGCCCGCGGCCUAUCAGCUUGUUGGUGGGGUGAGGCCUACCAAGGCGACGACGGGUAACCGGCCUGAGAGGGCGACCGGCCACACUGGGACUGAGACACGGCCCAGACUCCUACGGGAGGCAGCAGUGGGGAAUCUUGCGCAAUGGGCGAAAGCCUGACGCAGCGACGCCGCGUGAGGGAUGACGGCCUGGUU
rnacentral:rRNA from 1 species